GUGCUCGCUUUGGCAGGACAUAUACUAAAAUUGGAAUGAUACAGAGAAGAUUAUCAUGGUCCCUGCACAAGGAUGACACACUAAUUCAUGAAGCAUACCAUAUUUUU
ensembl:snRNA U6 U6 spliceosomal RNA